rnacentral:rRNA from 1 species
GAUGAACGCUGGCGGCGUGCCUAAUACAUGCAAGUCGAGCGAACAGAUGAGGAGCUUGCUCCUCUGACGUUAGCGGCGGACGGGUGAGUAACACGUGGAUAACCUACCUAUAAGACUGGGAUAACUUCGGGAAACCGGAGCUAAUACCGGAUAAUAUAUUGAACCGCAUGGUUCAAUAGUGAAAGACGGUUUUGCUGUCACUUAUAGAUGGAUCCGCGCCGCAUUAGCUAGUUGGUAAGGUAACGGCUUACCAAGGCAACGAUGCGUAGCCGACCUGAGAGGGUGAUCGGCCACACUGGAACUGAGACACGGUCCAGACUCCUACGGGAGGCAGCAGUAGGGAAUCUUCCGCAAUGGGCGAAAGCCUGACGGAGCAACGCCGCGUGAGUGAUGAAGGUCUUCGGAUCGUAAAACUCCGUUAUUAGGGAAGAACAAAUGUGUAAGUAACUAUGCACGUCCUGACGGUACCUAAUCAGAAAGCCACGGCUAACUACGUG